rnacentral:rRNA from 1 species
GAACGGGGAGAUUCACCGUUGUUCCGCGGCGCGUCGUGCGUCGUUUCGAUAUUGUCCCUCUCGGGGGACGGUACGCGCGACGUCGACCGUGUCCGCGGACGGCGUGCACUUCUCCCUUAGUAAGGCAUCGCGACCCGUUCGAUGUAGGUCUACGCCUUGCCCGGGAGUCCGGCGGCACUCGUUGCCAUCGGACCGAGCGAUGGCCGACCUACUGUCGGACGGUACAAAGAUUCGAAUCGCGCACGCGCUCAGCGCGUCCGGCACGACGCAAGGCGUCUCCGUAUCGAGUAUCCUGCCUUGUCGGCGGUGCACGAUACGGCGGCGUCUGUUGUCGCAGCCGUAUAGUCUCGGACUGUGCGCGUCUCCGUCUGCGAUGAUUCAGUUUCGGGCACUCGCAGGACCCGUCUUGAAACACGGACCAAGGAGUCUAGCAUGUGUGCGAGUCAUUAAGAUUUGAAAACUGAAAGGCGUAACGAAAGUGAAGGUGUGUGCUCGUCACGCGCUCAGGGAGCAUGGGGUGCGAUCUCGGUCGUACUCUCGCACUCC